rnacentral:lncRNA from 1 species
GCUUUUAUUUCUUCCUUUUUUUCAGAACAUUUUUCUGUUUUCCCUUUCCCCUUUGAUUUUCCUUUCUUUUUCUUGCCCUAUCAAUCCCGCCAACACUACCCUUUCAUUGCUGCCAUCAUCUCGCUAUCACCAUCUCGCCAUCUUCAUUUUCAACAGCAUCUCUAUCACCGUCGAUCUAGACUCAUGACUUUUUCAUGUGUUCUUCUGUAAAAUUAAGAACCUAAAUCUAAGCAGCAACUUUUUUUGGAGACUUGGAUUGCUUAGUCUCUUUCUCCUCUGAAUCAUUAGUUUAUUAGGCAACAAAACCGGCUCUUUCGUCUGUAUCUUCAUCACCAAUCGUUCGAAGGUCUCGGCCCCAUCGCAGUUGAUUAGGAGGCUCUGUCUCUCAGUAUUCCAAGCAAGCCAAGAGGGUCUUCACUCUCCAAUUACAUGAAGGCAGUGGAUCUCGAUUUCUCCUCCUUGCCCGCCAGUUGAUUUUUCUUUUUUUGCUUCCCUUUUCCUUUCCUUCCAUCCGUCCUUCAACUGACACCACCGACAAAUGGCCAUCGUCAGAUCUAAUUUUGCUAUUCAUGUUUCUAUUGAAUUUGGGAUUAAUUUGAAGUUGAUAGCAGAGCCACUAUGUGAUUGAUAUGUUGAAGGCUUUUGGUGUUAGGUUGGGAUCAUUGAUUGAGAAUUUUUUGUUAAUAUUUUGAGACUAUUAGAUUGAGAAUUUUUGUUGUUAUUUUGCGCUCUAUCUAAUUGGAAAUUUUUUGGUGUUAUUUUGGGAUCAUUGAGCGUUGAAAUUAGUGAUGAUUGGUGGUAGAGUUGCUGGUGAUUGGUGGCGAUGGUGGAGCUACUAGUGAUCGGUGGUGGUACUGAUGAUGAUUGGUAUUCACCAGUGUCGUUGACCAUUUUGGUGUUAUUGACCAAUUUGGUAGUGAGCAGGGAAGAAAUGGAGAAGGAAAAUAAACCAAAAAAAGGAAAGGAAAUGACAAAAAA